AGCAUUACCACAACUCGAACUGUCUCGCGUUCAAGGCGGAGCGUGCUCACAGAGAGAGGGCUGGGCUUGCGCGAGCAAACUUUUAACAGGACAUAUGAGGCUUCACCGCUCAGCUGGACCCGAACAGGCAUCAUGACACAGCACUUGUUAAGAAUACUAUUCCCUGCGACUGUCCUGAGCCUGUGUCUGCUUAUUCAGAGCAUAAUUGCUACAGGAGGGGAAAGUGCAGGUACAGUAACUUCAGCUUCAACUACCACCAGUAGUAUUUCAUACACUUUGUCUACCGCAGUCACUGGUCUACAGUCUACAGUCACUUCAGCUGGACAAACUAUAAGAGCAACAACUCAAACCUCAUCAAA